GUCAAAAGCAGACUGUUCUGUGCUUGCCAUGGCAUCUGUGCACCACUAGCCGACUACUACAAUUAUUUAGAUCCCUUUAUCCCACUUUCAUUUAGGCCUAGGAUAGUUCUGCCUUCUGACUUCGAACCCAAAUCUACUAAAUGUAAUUUUUCUUGAUGUUCAUUUGAAUGACUGAUCCUUGAAUAGUAUAAUUUACACAAGACUUGAGCGUGGCUGUGGCUCAGGUCGUGAUGGUCCUGCAGACACUGACACCUGUAGACUGCUCUCCAAGCCUUGGGCCCAGCAUCGAUAUGCUCCGUGUGCAGUGCAUGAUGGAGGUGAUGGGGAGGAGAUGGACACCACCCUCUCGCCGGGGGCCCAGAGCCUCAUGGACCUGGUACAGUUUCAGCAGAAGGCAGUAGCAUGCAUGCUGCUGAGAGCUGGAGCAGGUUAUGGAGUUGCAUCUGGAGUAGAUGGAGAGGAGACUGAUGGAACAGCGGCUGGAUGCCCUGCAGAGCCAGAGCCUGAAGAAGGCCUUACUACAGGCCCUGCCCCUGGCCCUUCCCCUCAAAGAUCAAGACCACAGCACCCACACCUGACCAGAACCACACUGCUUAUCCCCAGGCCA